rnacentral:rRNA from 1 species
UGAGGAAUAUUGGUCAAUGGGGGCAACCCUGAACCAGCCAAGUCGCGUGAAGGAUGAAGGUCUUAUGGAUUGUAAACUUCUUUUAUACAGGAAUAAAUUGGGGGACGUGUCCCCUUUUGCAUGUACUGUAUGAAUAAGGAUCGGCUAACUCCGUGCCAGCAGCCGCGGUAAUACGGAGGAUCCGAGCGUUAUCCGGAUUUAUUGGGUUUAAAGGGUGCGCAGGCGGGAUGUUAAGUCGGCGGUGAAAUUUUGCAGCUCAACUGUAAAAGUGCCUUCGAUACUGGCUUACUUGAGUGUGGAUGAAGUAGGCGGAAUUUGUGGUGUAGCGGUGAAAUGCUUAGAUAGCACGAGGAACUCCGAUUGCGCAGGCAGCUUACUAAGCCACAACUGACGCUCAUGCACGAAGGCGUGGGGAUCAAACA